rnacentral:rRNA from 1 species
CCUACGGGUGGCUGCAGUGGGGAAUAUUGCGCAAUGGGCGGAAGCCUGACGCAGCGACGCCGCGUGGGGGAUGACGGCCUUCGGGUUGUAAACCUCUUUCACCCAUGACGAAGCGAAAGUGACGGUAGUGGGAGAAGAAGCACCGGCCAACUACGUGCCAGCAGCCGCGGUAAUACGUAGGGUGCAAGCGUUGUCCGGAAUUAUUGGGCGUAAAGAGCUCGUAGGCGGUUUGUUGCGUCGGCUGUGAAAACCUGAGGCUCAACCUCAGGCCUGCA